GGAAGUCAUUGGGACCCACAUGCCCUGUGUGAAUCUGCCUUAAGAGUUUAUGGAUAACAAAGGUUGCAGGGCCUCUUGUGUCAGGACCCACCCCUUGGAUUUCUGGUGCAUCUUCUUUGGCCUGGUGAUCAUAUCCUGAUAAAGACCUGGAAGGAAGACAAACUUGAGCCGCCUGGGAAGGACCUUACCAGAUGCUGCUGACAACUGAAACAGCUGUUUGCACUGCAGAGAAAGGUUGGACUCAUUACAUGCAAGUCAAAGGGACUGAAUCCCCUAAUCAAGAGGAGCAACGGUCCGUGGUCCAACAUCCCAAUCCUACACAGCUGACUUCGAAAAGACUUUAAUACCCGUCUUGGUCAUUCUGUAUACCAAGAUGCAGAUUGUUGGGGGCAGCCCUUACCUGAUCAACUUAAUUAUUAAUGUGACCACAAGCAGAGAUCCCCUAACUGUGAAAUCUGAUGCUUGCCAGGUCUUCCCUUGUGAUAACCUACACAGCUAUCUAUAGAACAUAAGUACCUUUGUCCUGAACCAGUAUGGGGCAUGUCAGGAAAUGAUCCACACCAACUCCCCUGCUCUAGUUGGGCCAAAGUAUGGUGGAUUACCCAGAAUGGGGGUUAUACGGCUGAGCCACUUAAAGCAGCUCUCACCCUAGCGGAACUAAAAGAUAGAUUAUCCCUGACAAGGAGGGGUACCCAGAGAUGAUUGUGGGAAUCUACAACAUAACCCACUCCUAUUAAUGACGAAACCAGGGAAAACCAGUCCAUCUCUUGAGCAUUGGUAUGGACUGUGCUGUGCUUAGUUGCUCAGUCUUGUCUGACUCUUUGCAACCCCAUGGACUAUAGCCCACCAGGCUCCUCUGUUCAUGGGGAUUCUCCAGGCAAGAAUACUGUAGUGGGUUGCUAUGCCCUCCUCCAGGGGAUCUUCCCAACCCAGAGAUUGCAGGCAGAUUCUUUACUGUCUGAGCCACCAGGGAAGCCCUGGUAUGGGCUAGGGGCAGACAUAUCUGGGAGAGAUCCACUGGGAAGAUUAACUAUUAAAUUUGUUAAAAAUUACCUUCUAAUUAGUGCCACAGAUGCAAAACUUCUGAAACAAUUCAACCCCCAGUUCCCAAUGACCCUACUAAGGUCACCAUGGUAGAGGUGAAGGAUUUACACCAAACCACAGAGAUCAAGACUGGAUAUGGGAAAACAAAUGCCUGGUUGGAAUGGAUUAAAUAUUCUGUCCAAGCCUUAAACAAGAGCAGUUGUUACACUUUCAUGGCAGGUAAGCCAGAAGCCCAGGUGGUACCAUUCCCACUUGAGUGGACUUCAGACCCUAUGGGCGUGGGAUGCAUGAUAUCCCUUUUUCAGGACAAUACAGCUUGGGGCAAGAAAUCCUGCAGGACCUUGUCACUGUUGUUCCCAACUGAAAGGUUCCAGUAGGACCCCAAAGACUGUCAGACCCCCAUUCCAUGACGCUAAUCACACCUCGUGCCUCUCUCUGUUGGGGGAGCAAUUAGCAUUCCCGGGCAAUGUAUCUGGGUGCAGAGAAAGCCAGUUCUUUGAGAGCAGCAAUCCACCCGCAUCGUCGUUGGCUCAGAUGGAUGUCUGGUGGUACUGCGGAGAACCAUUGCUCAGGAUUCUUUGGCUGACUGGAGUGGGACUUGCACUUUAGUUCAACUGGGGGUCCCUUUCACUCUGACAUUUCUACCCCCUGACUCAACCCCUGUACAAACCAGACAUGGAAGCAAGAGAGAUGUCACCAGCUGUGGUGGGUCAUCUGAUACACAUGUUUACAUGGACUCAAUUAGAGUUCCCAGGGGUGCCCCUAAUGAAUUCAAGGCUAGAAACCAGAUAUCGGAAUUUGAAUCAAUAUUAUUCUAGCGGUCCACCAUCAGUAAAAAUGUGGGUUGGAUAAACUACAUUUAUUAUAACCAGC
ensembl:lncRNA